rnacentral:misc_RNA from 1 species
GAUGAAGAACGUAGCAAAAUGCGAUAAGUAAUGUGAAUUGCAGAAUUCAGUGAAUCAUCGAGUCUUUGAACGCACAUUGCGCCCCCUGGUAUUCCGGGGGGCAUGCCUGUCCGAGCGUCAUUGCUGCCCUCAAGCACGGCUUGUGUGUUGGGCCGUCGUCCCCCUCCUAGGGGACGGGCCCGAAAGGCAGCGGCGGCACCGCGUCCGGUCCUCGAGCGUAUGGGGCUUCGUCACCCGCUCCGUAGGCCCGGCCGGCGCUUGCCGACGACCAUCAAUCUCUUUCUCCAGGUUGACCUCGGAUCAGGUAGGGAUACCCGCUGAACUUAAGCAUAUCAAUAAGCGGAGGA